GACGAACGCUGGCGGCGUGCCUAAUACAUGCCAGUUGAGCGAUGAAGAUUGGUGCUUGCACCAAUUUGAAGAGCAGCGAACGGGUGAGUAACGCGUGGGGAAUCUGCCUUUGAGCGGGGGACAACAUUUGGAAACGAAUGCUAAUACCGCAUAACAACUUUAAACAUAAGCUUUAAGUUUGAAAGAUGCAAUUGCAUCACUCAAAGAUGAUCCCGCGUUGUAUUAGCUAGUUGGUGAGGUAAAGGCUCACCAAGGCGAUGAUACAUAGCCGACCUGAGAGGGUGAUCGGCCAAAUUGGGACUGGGAAACGGCCCAAACUCCUACGGGAGGCAGCAGGAGGGAAUCUUCGGCAAUGGACGAAAGUCUGACCGAGCAACGCCGCGUGAGUGAAGAAGGGUUUCGGAUCGGAAAACUCUGUUGGUAGAGAAGAACGUUGGUGAGAGUGGAAAGCUCAUCAAGUGACGGUAACUACCCAGAAAGGGACGGCUAACUACGUG
rnacentral:rRNA from 1 species